CAGCAGCCGCGGGAAAACAGAGGGUGCAAGCGUUAAUCGGAAUUACUGGGCGUAAAGCGCGCGUAGGUGGUUUGUUAAGUUGGAUGUGAAAUCCCCGGGCUCAACCUGGGAACUGCAUCCAAAACUGGCAGGCUAGAGUAGGGCAGAGGGUGGUGGAAUUUCCUGUGUAGCGGUGAAAUGCGUAGAUAUAGGAAGGAACACCAGUGGCGAAGGCGACCACCUGGGCUCAUACUGACACUGAGGUGCGAAAGCGUGGGGAGCAAACAGGAUUAGAGACCCCCGUAGUCCCUGUCUCUUAUAC
rnacentral:rRNA from 1 species